CAGUAACAUGGCCAAUCCUUCCUAAGCUGCUCAGCUUACAAAAAAAGGAAUCGUCCUGCUAGGAAUUCAAACUUCAGCAGUCAUGGGAGGCUUGGGAGGAGCCCAAAUCACUGAUGGAAUUGGACAGUGUUGAGGAGAUGGCUCAGCAGGACGAGGGUAACUGCAGGGCAAGUCUAGGUCAUACUGAGAGACAAUGAGUGGCGCUGAUGGGGACAGACAAAGAUAAAAUCAAAAGUUUGUGCUUCAUCUUCAAAAACUCAAACUAAUAACAAACUUGGCCUUAUAAGAAAUAAUAAGUAUUUUUCUAUUUACAUGAGAAUUUAAUCUCAAAACAGAAAUCAGAAAAAUAUUAAGUCCAGGACAUGAAACCUAAACCAUUGCUCAUAUUUAUUCUUUCUAAAUAGAGCAAAGUGUAAAAUCUUCUCCAUAAAACAUACAUUGUGGUUAUAAAAAGGCAAAAGUCUUAGUGAGAAUCAUUGGUAUUCCAUAGAAGAGUGAAUUAAACACAAGGGAAGACCCAAGUCUCAUACUUCUCUUGCAUAUUUCAAAGUUCCAGGGAAAUUCCAGGUGAUAGAGGUUAUUUCCCAUACUGUUAAAGCAAGGUUGCAGACACUUGGGAAUUUUGGUCCCAGUACUCUAGGAGGGCACACCUCUGUCCUGGAAAAUAAUACAGGAAUGAAUUCUCUUCCUGUGACUCAUUCUGCUCAUUCUUCCAGCAUCACAAAAACCAAAAAAUGGAAAUAAUGGCCAAACACAUGAUUUGCUAUCCCUCUUCUUCAGGUUUCUUACCUGUUACUUAUGGAUAAUAGCUUUACCUUAAGGAUUAUGAUGAAGACACAAUGUCCAAAUAUGAGCACAGUUUUGA